ensembl:processed_transcript 2610507I01Rik RIKEN cDNA 2610507I01 gene
AGUUGUCCAGGUUCUGGCGUCGCUGCGGGUGACGAAACUGAAGUAAGCUAGGUCGACGGACUACCCAAGGCCAGAGAGUGUGGGCGGGAGGCCGUCGGAAUUCUGAGACUUUCUGGGGUGCAGGCAGCACAACGCUGUGCAGUGCGUGGACGGAAGCCAGAUAGCAAUGCUAUGCACCGCUGGGCGGUCCCUAAGUUUCCAUGCCUGGUUGUUCUCAAGGUUUGCUCCGGAUCCGAUAGUCGCCCGUGACCCCUUUCCGCAGGUACAUGGCUUGUCUUGGGUUCGCGGUGGAACAUCCAAGUGCCAAGUUGGGUUGGCAAAACAGCCAAGGUGAAGGAGUUGGAGUCACUGCGGUACUCGUGAGGAACAUCUUUAGAGAACAGUCGGCUCUUCAGAACCAAAGAGCACAGGACUUUCAAGCACCCCACUAGUGUCUCGUGAGUGGCCCGACACUAAAGGGUCCUGAAGCUCUCCGCCCUUUUGAGCUUAUGACAGCGGUUUAUUGUAAGCCCUGGAGGUGCACUACUGCGCAGGCUGCAGGACUCUCCCCAAAGUUUCUCAGUAUGACUACACAAACUUACUUAUGUGCUGCCUUUAGAGGACGUUGCCACAUUGGGCCCCUGGCGACAUGUGGCAGAUCUUUUUCCUUCCCCAUUUCUGCUUUUUCCUGAGUUACUUGUCUUUUACCAUCAUCCCUCUUGGGUUGCACUGAUCAAUUUAGUUCCCUGUCUCCUCCUAGGGCUAUCCAGCAUGUAGUCGGGGGUCUACAAGGGACACAAGGAGAAGUGGGUUUGUUUGUUUGUUUGUUGCUUUUUUGGUUUUUUUUUUGCAGCCUGGCAGCCAGCCUCUGGAGCUCAUCUCACAUAAUGGCCUGCAAAUGUCGUUAUCAGGCACCAGAAAGCCGGGAACUCAUGCGACACUUCGAUGUGAGGUAGUGUUUCAUUUUAUAUCUUGAGGCUUCCAAGGAUACUGGAGACUCAGACAUCAUCUCAUGCUAAGCUGUUUGAGACAAACCACAAGUGAUCCCAGUACUUGGAAGCUGGAGGCAGGCAAUCAGAAUUCCAAGGACUAAAUAGCAAGUUUGAGACUAGCCUGAGAUACAGGAGACCUAGUCUCAGGAAUUAAAAAAAUAAAAUAAAGACAAGCCUUG